UUGAUCCUGCCGGAGGCUACUGCUAUCGGGGUCCGACUAAGCCAUGCGAGUUGAGAGGGGUAAGCCCUCGGCAUAUUGCUCAGUAACACGCGGAUAACCUGCCCUUGGGUCUGGGAUAACCCCGGGAAACUGGGACUAAUACCGGAUAGAUCAAAGAAACUGGAAUGUUCUCUGGUCUAAAACUCUGGUGCCCAAGGAUGGGUCUGCGGCCUAUCAGGUAGUAGUGGGUGUAACGUACCUACUAGCCUACGACGGGUAAGGGUUGUGAGAGCAAGAGCCCUGAGAUGGAUUCUGAGACAUGAAUCCAGGCCCUACGGGGUGCAGCAGGCGCGAAAACUUUACACUGCGGGAAACCGCGAUAAGGGGACCCCGAGUGCCAGCACCUAGUGCUGGCUGUCCAGCUGUCCAAAUAACAGUUGUUAGCAAGGGCCGGGCAAGACCGGUGCCAGCCGCCGCGGUAACACCGGCGGCCCGAGUGGUAGCCGUUAUUAUUGGGUUUAAAGGGUCCGUAGCCGGCCUAUUAAGUCUCUUGGGAAAUCUGGCGACUUAAUCGUCAGGCGUCCAAGAGAUACUGGUAGGCUUGGGACCGGGAGAGGUGGGAGGUACUCCAGGGGUAGGGGUGAAAUCUCGUAAUCCUUGGGGGACCACCGAUGGCGAAGGCAUCCCACCAGAACGGGUCCGACGGUGAGGGACGAAAGCUGGGGGCACGAACCGGAUUAGAUACCCGGGUAGUCCCAGCUGUAAACGAUGCUCGCUAGGUGUCACGUGCGGUGCGACCGCAUCUGGUGCCGCAGUGAAAACUUGAAGCGAGUCACCUGGGAAGUACGGUCGCAAGGCUGAAACUUAAAAGGAAUUGGCGGGGGAGCACUACAACGGGGUGGAGCCUGCGGUUCAAUUGGAUUCAACGCCGG
rnacentral:rRNA from 1 species